AUCCUGUGAACAUUAGAAGAGAAGUGUAAGUUUGGGGAUACACCAGCAGCUGUGAUAAACUUAGUUGUUUAUGCUUAGUUUUAAAAUAAAUAUCAGUACUUGCUGUUUAUUCAACCAAGCCUUCCAACAGCUUUUCAGCUGGGAAACAGUAGUGGGAUAGAAAGAGGUUUCUGAUGAGUGACUAUACAAGUACUGAGUUUGGGAGGAGGGUUUUUUGGCAACUGAGACUGGAAUAAGAUUUGUGAAUGGGUAUUUUAGUUUCACAACUUCUGGAUGACGCAAAGAGCUGCAGUCAUGGUUUCACUGUCAAUGGGGGAAAAGGGGUAUGACACAGCAUGAAGUGUAUCAUGUGGCAGUCAGUAAUCUCUGGUUAACCUAUUGGUGCUUAGCUGGUUCAAGAGAGAUCCUACAAUCUUUAAAGCAAAGGUUGGAGAGUUAAGCAAGAAAGGGACAGAAAUGAAAUUGCUGUUCACUAACACUGUGUGGUGUGUUUAGUUACACAGGCUGCCUGUGUCUUCCCUCCUCCCCAGGAAUGUGGCUGAAGAUCUUACCUGUCACAGUCCAGGACGGUGUUUAUCCGGGUCAUCUGCCCACAUGCUGAGCCAGUAACCCCGAGAGAACGACACAGCUUGCUGGCAGGCGAAGGACAGGAGGAUGAACACACACAGGGCUGAGCCUGUCGCCUUCAGUUCCUGAAAACAGCCUAAUUAGAAGAAAAUGCUCAGGGAAAAAUUUACCUUCAUGGUCACGGAGCCGUCCAGUUUCUCCAGCUCACCAAGUAAUGCUGACAGCAAGGAGGACUUCCCAGCACCCACCUGGCCAACUACAGCAAGCAAAGAGCCUUGGGGCACGAAUUCAACAUUAAAUAUGAAGUGAACUCAGAAGCCUCUGGACAUUCCACACUGGCCCUACAGAGCUGAGAGAUGACUAAGACAAAAUGUACCUGAAACUGACUCCUCUUCUUGGUGAUCACGAAAUUCAGAGGCAGAAGAAAAAAGAAUACAGCAAUUGCAGUCAAGGCAGAUGGCCCUAGAAGCUGCCAGGCAACAAUUUCUUCAGAGGAGUCCUCUCUCCUCACUGGCCACAAGUCAUCCACCCCCAAGGACUGCUGAGAGCCUUUCCAGAGAAGCCUGGAGAACACACAGACUGCAGUCAGAGAACCACCAGUAUGUGAUUUUGGAAAGAAAAAAGCUUCUGGCUUCUGGACAGUGAUUCUGAUGGGAGAGAAAACGUGUGAUAUUUAUAUACAGAAAAGUGCAUGUGUCAGAUGAAUAUAAUUCCCUUCUGUGCUCCCCCAGGAAAAGCAAUCAAAGAGUUACCCCCACCCCUCAAUUCACUGACAGAGCAAGUGUAUUGUGGAGGAUCAAUGGGAUUGGGAGAUUUUGGAGAAUUUGACUUCGAAUAACUUCUCAGAUAGAAGAAAAAAAAGAACAUAAUUCUUCAUGCCCAGAGACGUUUAUUUUCUUAAGCACAGAAAUUUGUCAUACCCAUACCACCAAGUACUGCUGCACAGGAGAGCAGCAACAGGGGAAGCAAUAGGAGCCCUGUCUGCUGGUUUCAAUGACAAGAAACAUGAGUAUGGAUAAAAGGGCAUGUUGAAUUUUGAAACUAAACAUCACAACUGCAGCCACGAACGAGAGCAGCCAAUAAAUCAAUAGGACCCCUGAAGACUGGAUGCCCAUCAUUCUUUCUGCCUGGGUAAGGAACAUGGCAAGGAUCUGUGAGGAGGUACAAAUUUGUCUACAUAAAUACCUGGUAAUGGAAUGCCAAACAUUGUUAUCAAAUUAAUGAGUACCACAGAAAAAAGGUCAGUUUCUUGUCCAAACACUUCAAGAUGUUCAGAGCUGUAGUAGCUGUAGUAUUGUUCCUAAAAGGCUAAAACUGAACAGCAUUAUGUGCAAUUUUGCACUCCAGAAUGUCUCUGAAGAAAGGGCAAGUAAUGAAACUACAAGUGGGCCAA